UGAAUUGGCAUACAAUUUCGUUAGAGGCAGAAAAGGCGGUAGUUUGCUCAUGUACAACGGUUAUACGUAUUCGAGACGCAGCGGCUCGCAGAAUUACUACUGCUCUAAAAAGGACCAAGGUUGCAAAGCUGGAGUCAAGUUGGGUGAUGAUGGAAAACUCUUCAUCAAGAAGCCUUUGGUCCAUAGUCAUCCGCAACCUUGCUACUAUGUCACGGAAUCUGGGGCGUUUAUAAAAGUAUAAUCCUUUUUGCCUAAAAAGGCGUAUUGGAUGUCUGAUAUCUUUCCCAUAGGACCCACCAAGUUUCCAAAAUAAUAUUAGGAAUACUGUGGUAUGUUACUUUUAGACUGGACAUUUUUGUUUUCCUUAUUAAUUUUUAUUUAUUGUGUAAGUAAAUUGAAUAUCUUGUUAGAAAUGUUAGAAUUAUAAUUAAUUCAUUUAAAUAUAUUUAUUAUUUUACAUUUUUCUCGUAUUAGUGAUUUCUAUCGUAUUCUAUUUAGGCGAUAUUAAUUUCAUUUUCAAAUCGUACCAUUUCGACGAUGCAGUCUAUGAUGGAAGCGGGCUAACUUGUUAGGAGGAGGAUGAAAAUCCACACUCCUUUGUAUGAAACUCCUAUACUGCAACGCACACUAAUCGGAAUCGUAAAGUAAUCGCCUUACAUCGGGAUAAGCACUCGUCUUAAGUCUCUCAGUCCGAGAAGCGUCGCCUAGCCGUAGCCGAGUGAACUAUGACCUUAAUCUAAUCUCAAGGUUAUUCGUAUUUGCAGACGCAUAUUCAUACAGUUUCAUUAGAACAAGAAAAGGCGGUAGUUUGCUCAUGUUCAACGGUUACACGUAUUCUAAACGUGGCAAAUCACAGAAUUACUACUGCUCUAAAAAGGACCAAGGCUGCAAAGCUGGGGUCAAGAUGGACAUUGAUGGAAAACUAUUGAUCAAGAAACCGUUGGUCCAUCUACAUGCACAACCUGACUACUAUAUAACGGAAACUGGGAAUUACAUAAAAUUAUCGCAUUAAAGACAUUCCUUUAACUGCAGUGUUUAAUGGAAGAUUUUUGAUAAUGCCGCCAGAAAACCCACCAAGUACUUGUUAAUAAUAUUAAGAAUGUGUUAAUAUAAAUUAAUAUUAUUUAAUUUUCUCCUUAAUUGACAUAUGAUAUUUGUGCAAAAAAUACACCCUGCCUAGAUAAUACCUAGUUCUAACGUAUCUUGUGACCAGAUAAUACUUACAGUGAAAUUCUCGAUGUUUUUCUAAGCAUCUACUUCUCUUCAAAGAAUCACAUGAUUGAUUGUAUUCUUUGCAGUCGAGUGAUGUCGGAACCUCUUAUUAAUUUUUACAUUAACAUUUGUGGUUUAACACAUGGACGGUGUUUUUGUUAUUACUUAGUAAGAAAGGAACGUUGAGUUGUUGAAACUGUAAUAGAAAUACAAUACAAUACAAAUUACAACACUUAACAAAUUUUAAUAAUUUGAUUACAUUUUAAUUAAUUUUUAGUUAGUACGAAAAAUCAUGUCACUUAAUAAAUUAUACAUUUGUCAUUUCUUUUUGAAGGGAAAAUUUGCGAAAUAGUCCAUGAAAUCAACAUGUCGUUGUCCAAAGAAAAUUCUUAUAUAAAACAUAAGAAAGACGGUGAUGUCACGUCAAUUUGGAGCCAUUACUUGGUGGCUGAAGAUAGAAAUUCUGCGCAAUGCAAACAAUGUUCGGCGGUCCUAAGAACUUUAGGAGGAUCCACUAGAGGGCUACAUACACACAUGUUAACGAAACACAAAACAAAAGUAGUGUCUACCAGUGGCGAAGGAUGGAAUUUAGACGAAGGACUCGAAUAUAAAAUCAUUACAACUGAGAAAGGGAAUGUACUAAUGGUCAACGGGUAUACCUACGCUAAGGACAACAAGUCCACAAAUUACUACUGCUCUAAGAGGAGUCGGGGCUGCAAGUCCAGGCUCAAGCUCGGGUAUCAGGGAAUCGAGGUGAAAAUGAUGGAAAAUUUGCUGCAUAACCACCCACCACCGAAUUAUUAUAGAUCUGCUACGGGAGUGUAUUUAAAAGUAUCGUCUUAAAAUAUCUGCAUAUUUAAAAUAGAGUUACCUCAGUAUUUAUGUACGACCUACCUACCUGUGUAUUGGCAGAAGGUAAGAGUUCAUUUACACGAGCGGCAACUCUGCCGUCUGCCGACUGCAGUCGUCGACGUCUGCAGUUGUCGGUAGCAGCUGCCGCUCGUGUAAAUGAACACUAAGGGUAAAUCGACUCAUUUCUAAAUUCUACUAAUAAAUUCUACAAUUCAAUUAGUCUUUGUGGCUUUGAUUUCAUUGACUUUUGACUUUUACGGAGAAGGCACUAAGUAGGUUGGUUUGAAGGCACAUUGCCAUGCUUGCCUAGAAUUAUCGCAUUCCACCAUUCUAUGCGACUCGGACGAUUAUUUUUGCAUGACUUUUAUCUUUGCAUUCGAUCUCGAAGAAACAAGGCUUCAAUAAUUUAUACAGAUAUUCCAGAAGACAUUCUGUUUCUGUUUUCUCUCUAUUAUACGACAGAUCUUAUGGUGUUACAAUUGGGAGAUCGCGAGGGAUUCAAAACAUUUUUUUUAGGAUCCGCUAGUCCCACGUGGUAGUUCUCGUGGGAAUAAGGGGAUACAGUAUAAUCUAUUUUACUCGCUGAUAUUGUAGCUACAAUAAUAUACUACUUAUUGUUUGACUAUUAUGGUUUAAACAGUUAAGUCCUGUUAUCUUACAGAUUUUCAGUUUAUUGAGAUAAAACCUGGUCGACGGUUACUAAUGUAUCAAGGUUAUACUUAUUCAAGUAGCAACAACAGAAAUUACUAUUGUUCUAAGAAAGAUCGUGGAUGCAAAGCGAGGUUGAAGUUGGACGCCAAUGGAGCGAUAGAGUUUCUGAAUCCAGAUUAUAUUCAUACUCACGAAAAACCACAAUACUCUGUGACAGCGUCGGGGAUUUAUUUGAAAAUAUCUUCAUAAUUACUUUAUUUGAUUAAUACAUUUAUAUCUUCAAGAAACAAUUGUACGCAGUGAAGUGCUUAUGCGUUAUUAUUAAACUGAUACUCAAAUAAAAAAUACUGACCUAUUUCUUGAGAGACUACUUUUACGUUUAUUGUCUCUCGUUGCAUAAAUUUCUUUGGGUUAUUUAAUUUUACAAUUUGUCUUUUCAAAAUAUUGGAUCUCUCUUUAAUUUCUUUCUAAGUCCAAUUCACGAUAUAAUAUUUAUAAUAUUUAAAGAUAUAUAUUUUAAGUAUUUUUUAAGUAUAGUAGUAAUGUGUUAACUCAAUCUGAAAUUAGGAUUUGCCGACGUACGUACUCGUAUCAAAUAGCUGAAUUUCACUGUGUCACUCGAUGUGAGUAAAAAAUCCAGUGAAAAAAAUAAGUUAAUUGGCGAGUUUAAAUUCAUACCAACACGUAGCGGCAAAUAUCUCCUCAUGCUAGACGGUUUUACGUACUCGCAAAUGAAGAAUAGCAACAAUUACUACUGUUCGAAGAAGGACUCCGGUUGCAAAGCUCGUGUGAAGCUGCUCUCUAACGGCGCAGUAUCGUAUCAAUCUAUCACAACGCAUGCGCACCCACCUCCUAAAUAUAUGAUUACGGCUGCGGGGCACUAUGUUAAAAUUCAUCACUAAGUUCCUACCUCAGUACCGUUACCUGGGGGGCUAUUCUGUAACGAUGUUUGGUGGAACUCGCAAAUGCGAGUUUCGAAUUGAACAAUAUUGCUCUCUGCUUAACACGAGGUUUUUUUUUAUAUUCUUUACAAGUUAGCCCUUACAAUCUCACCUGAUCGUAAGUGAUGAUGCAAUCUAAGAUGGAAGCGGGCUAAAUUGUUAGGAGGAGGAUGAAAAUCUUUUCUACGGAACGAUAAAAAACUUGGCGGUACGUCUUUGUCGGUAGGUUGGUAAUUAGCCACGGCCAAAGCCUCCCACCAGCCAAAUGUAAUGGUACAGUAAAAGAAUAAUAUAAUAGUUUAAAAAACUAAAAAACACGCUCAAACCAUUUCAUUUCAUACCAUUCAUGGGGGUGCAUUUCAAAUAGCCUGUCCGCCAUAUUGGAUUUAAGUCACGUGACAUUUUUUUUCGUGUUUCCCUUUCAUUUGAUAUCCAUAUCAUGGGGAUGGAUUUCAAACAGCCUGUCUUUGUGGAGGCCGCCAUAUUGUAUAUGUAAUGACGUUUCUUAGCUAUUCAUAUAUUGUCAUCAGAACUCAAAGCGUGUGCAAAAUUUCAUCCUAAUCGAAGACCGUGAAGUGGGUCAAAUUAAGAUUCCAAGAUUUUCUGACAUACAUACGUAGUUAGUUACAAGUGAAGCUAAUAAAAGCGUGUUAAUUAAAAAUAGGGGUGAAUUCGAAACUCUAUGCGAGUUAUACUAAACAUCGUUAUAGAAUACACCUCCUAGAGGGCUAUUCUGUAACGAUGUUUUCUAGACUCGCAAAUGCGAGUUUCGAAUUCACCAAUAUUUCUCUGUCUAACACGAUACUAUAGAAAGAGAAAGAGGUGAAUUCGAAACUCCCGCUUGCGAGUCAUGCGUUACAGAAUAGCCCCCCCAUUACUGUACCAAAUAAUCCAAAAAUACGAUCGUAACUCCGUAUAGUCGGCUGCAAUUUUUAUGACGUUUUCGAACAUCGUGGUUUAGCUGCGCAAUACAAGAUUUUAGGUAUAAUCGGUUACGCAGACGCAGGGCGACAGGGCAUCACACCGCACGCACCUCCUACUCAAUUAAAUCGCCUCACUUCUUGAUUUUACAAGUCUUGAUUUUAGUGUAUUUUAUGUAUGACCUCUGAGUAGACACAUUUGCGACUUAUUUCGUAGACGUCAUAAAGAUUGCGUCCGACUAUACUCGAGUAUAAUACGAGUCUUCAAAGACAGUUUGAAGGGCAAGCAGACAGUAUGGUUGUUUAAAGUUAAUUUGAUUUGAAGUUAAUGAUAUCGGGCGCUGCUUCUAAUUUAUAAAUGUGUGUAUUUUAGCCAGUAUUAAUUUAUAUAUAAUUAUUACAAUGAUGUGUUUUGUUUUACCUGAAUUACUGAGCAUUAAACUGUAUAAAAUAUAUACUAACAUUUGCCUGAGCCGUUUGAAUUUUGGAUUUCGGCUACCAACACCGCAACCUUCCCUACUCUAAGCUUUCUUGUAAGAACAAUCCCAGGACCAGGGAUUCGAAGCCUGGACUUCAUUGACCAGUUAACCACCACCCUAAUAAGGCAGUCUAUCUAGUUGUUACUAUUUAUUUCAGCUAAUGGGUUGUUUGAAAACUGUGAAGAGAGUUUUAUUUCAGUAUAAAGUCUCAUACCUUUACGUAUAAAUAAACACAAUAUUAAAUGUAUUAAGUUAUAUUAAACAUAUUGCUUUUUUUAUUGUAUCGUAUUUUUUAAGUUUUUACAAAUUCAUAAUAUUUAUCAUUUGAUCAUUGUAGACUUAUGCACUGAAGAAAAUGACGUUUGUGAAAUUAACAAAAUACCCACAAAUCGUGGAAAGUUCCUCAUCAUGGUAAAGGGGUACACAUAUUCUCAGAUGAGAGACUCGAACAACUAUUAUUGCUCUAAGAAGAACAUCGGAUGUAGAGCACGGAUCAAAGUCAGUGAUACUGGAAACAUUAUCGGCGAAUCUUUACCACAACAUAACCAUCCUCCACCAAAGUACAUGAUGACAUCUAGUGGGAAAUAUAUAAAGAUAUAAGAGGACUGAGGAUCGUUCAGAAUCUUUAAAUGUACUAAACGCAGGCUACAGAGCGCGACUUAGGUCUGGGAAUAUCACUGACCUUGAUGAAUAAUCGUUGCCACAUCCUUAACAUCCUCCACCCAAGUACAUGAUGACAUCUAGUAGCAUAUAUUACAUAAAGAUAUAAGAAAACUGAGGAUCGUUCAGGAUUUUCAAACAGUUUUUCAAGAACUACAAAACAUGAUGCCAAUUGCUGCUAGCAGGACAAUAACAACUGUUGAUAAAUAGUCUUAUUUGCAGACAUAGAACCAACAGAAUCAAAAAUCAAAAUCAAAAUCAAAAAAUCAUUUAUUUCAAGUAGGCUCAGUUUACAAGCACUUUUGACACGUCAGUUGACUAUUUGUAAAGAUUCUACCACCGGUUCGGAAGGCAGGUUCUGCUGAGAAGAUACCGGCAAGAAACUCAACAGUUGCUCUUUUGAAAAAGUCAUACAGUAUUAUAAUUUACAAUUAAUAACAAUUACUGUUUACAUUUCUUAUAGUUUUACUUUCUGUGUGAAGGUGGAAGCUGAUCCAACGGCCUCCAAGCAUCUUUAUCAUUAAGGAACUCAUCAAUGUUGUAGUACCCUCGACUAAGUAAAUGUUUUUUAACACAUUGCUUAAAGCUAUGCAUUGGCAGGUCCAUCACAGUCUUGGGGAUCUUAUUAUAGAAGAGUACACCCAAACCUACAAAAGAUUUUUUUACUCUUUGGAGACGAUAUGCAGAAAUAACUAACUUAUGCCCGUGUCUAGUAAGACGUGGGUUUAAAUCUCCUUUUCGUUUGCACAAAUUAAUAUUUUGUCUUACAUAUACUAUACUGUUAUAUAUAUAUUGACAGGCUACUGUUAGUAUACCUAUUUCUUUAAACUUUUGACGAAGGGACUCGCGUGAUUUUAAUUGAUAUAUUGCUCGAAUUGCUCUUUUUUGAAGUACAAAUAUAGAUUGUAUAUCGGCAGCCUUGCCCCACAAUAAAAUACCGUAAGACAACAGCAAAUCAAUAAUGAUUUUUAAAUUCAAUUAGAAAUCAUUUAAUAAAAACAAAAACACAUUUUAUUUCAAAAGCUUCUUCAGAGUUAGAAAAUGUUGUAUGACAAUAAAAAUCACGCAUAGCAUGAUUGAUUUAAGUAAAAACCUACAUAAAUUAUUUUUAUAAAAAAAUCUGGUAUUAUUUUUUAUAUCCCAUCUUUUUAUUUUCUAAAUUUCUAAAACGCUAAAGACGUUCAGUUUUAACUGAGCAGUUUUAAGUGUACUGUCGAAUUGUUCAGUUAAAUCGCCCAUAUUAUGUAUUUUAACCAUAUAGUUUUUCUAAUGAUUUUGAUUGCAAUUUCGAUUAGAUAAAACUGUACACUUAAAACUGUGCAGUUAAUACUGAACGUCUGUAGCCCGGGUUAAGGUCCGUUUAUAUCUAUUUUUAUAUUUAGCAUGCCAGGCACAUGCCGUGGCAGACAAAAUAAUAUUCUUCUAUACAGUGUUUAUUAACUUAUUUAUAUAUAUCGUAACGCGGCCGCGCAGACGUUGACAGACAAGGGCCGCGCCCGGCCAGUAUUCGCGGAAAGAAUAUUUUGUCUGUGCGGUUCAUGUCUGUAGAGUCCUUUUCAUGAAUCUGAAAUAAAAUUGACAGCGCUUUACGAAUAUGACAAUUAGUCCGCCAUUACCAAAUGACAAUGAACCUCAUUAAGACAUUAGCGCCGCGUCUUGGGGACUUCUUUCAUGAAAAGGACUUUACGUGUCUCUAUCUACCUGCUGGUCAGUGUGAAUAGAUAGUGUCUGUAGGUGUCUGUCACGCUACUUGUCAGUGACGCACUGUGUGUCUGUAGAAAUAAACGGACCUUUAUGCGUCUCGAAUUUUAAUUGUAUUUUAAUUUAAGUUAUUCUCUUGAUUACAACAUUAUUAUUAACGUUAAUAUUUUAUUACAUUUUCGUAGUUUAAUUAUUAAUUAUAUCACUUUUUAGACAGUAGUUUCCAUUUUAACUUGAAAACUUCGCACAUUUUUUAAAGAGUUUGUGAGUCGAAAAUUUUAAAUAUUAAACCCUUUUUUAAAUUAUGACACACUUACCAUGAUUACUCAAUUAAAAAAGUCUUGAAUGCAUGCCCGUUUUUAAAUUGAUGAUGAUGAAUGAUACAUGCGUAUGAGUUCCUGAAAAAUAACAACGGAUUUUAACACACAAAUUGGCAGUGAAAUUAAUCUUUCUUCUCAUCCUUACCUCUGGCUUAUCCUCGUAAGGCAGUGCGUGUUGAAUUUAGUAAAAUUUCCGCAAUUUAUUUUAGAAACAUGUAAUUACGAAAUCGUCACAUCACGGCGUGGGAAGGAUCUGAUACUGCUUGACGGUUUUACAUUCUCCCAGUAUACGCAGAGGCUGUGGAUCUGUACCAAGUACCCUAGGUGUAAGACUAAAAUCGUGCGCUAUCCGAAUGGCUAUUUGUCACAACUAUCUCAAGACCACAGUCACUUUGCUGGCCCGAUGCUUAAAACCGAUGGAAGACUUGUGACUAAAUGGCAGUAGGUAUUAAUUUAGUUCAAAUUAGUAAUACAGGGUGGAUUAAAAUUAAAUACAAGGUGUAAUUUUUCGAGUACCUACUAUAAAUAUUGUAAAAAUCUUUCACUAACUUCCACUGUUUAUUAUUAUUAAAACCAACUGAUUUUUAACCGACAUUGUAAUAAAGGAGUUGAGAUUCUCAAUUUGACACGUAUUUUUCUUAAUGAUUGUUACCUCAUACCUCCGUUAUUUAUUUACCGAUUAAAAAAUAUUAGGAAGCACAAUUCUAUAUAAAGAACGACAUUAAGAAGUCUCGGAGAGGCAAGGAUCUUCUCUUAGUUGAUGGUUUCACAUAUGCCAAAAAAACAUCUACCACUGGACCUGUUCCAGUUCCCAUUACCCUGCAUGUAAGGAGUAGCUCAAAUUGAACAAACAAGCCCAAAUACGUCAACACAAUAGCACACACAAUCAUCAGGCGAAGAGAAUAAUUCGCACAAGUGCCGGGAAGUAUCACAUAAUGUAAAUUACCCUGCACGUAAUGCGCAGCUUAAAUUGAACAAACAAGCCCAAAUACUUCAACACUAUAACACACACAAUCAUCAGGCGAAGAGAAUAAUUCGCACAAGUGCCAGGAAGUAUCACAGAAUGUAAAUUACCCUGCAUAUAAGUCGCAGCUUAAACUGAACAUACAAGUCCAAAUACGUCAACACAAUAACACACACAAUCAUCAGGCGAAGAAAAUAAUUCGCACAAGUGCCGGGAAGUAUCACAGAAUGUAAAUUACCCUGCAUAUAAGUCGCAGCUUAAACUGAACAUACAAGCCCAAAUACGUCAACACAAUAACACACACAAUCAUCAGGCGAAGAAAAUAAUUCGCACAAGUGCCGGGAAGUAUCUCAGAAUAUAAACUUCCCUGCAUGUAAGUCGCAGCCUGAACUGAACAAACAAGCCCAAAUACGUCAACACACACAAUCAUCAGGCGAAGAGAAUAUUUCGCACAAGUGCCGGGAAGUAUCUUAAAAUAUGAACUGAAUUUGAAACUUUUUUUCAGAUUGGAUUAUUCGAAAAUGAAGUAUACGAAAAUAAAUUACAUUUUUAAAAAGAAGCUUUUAUUUAAGUCUUUAUUGUUGUAUUUAAUUAUUCUAUUUUAGUAUUUGCCGAGAUAAAUGAGCUUAAACUUUAUCGUUUUGUCUUCACCUAUUCGUAUGCCAUCUUCCGACUCUAUCAUCAAACCAGCUUCAUGGUACUAUGUUAUUGCAUUGUCACCGAAGAAACGCAUGAAAUUUGAUUGGUCGCGAACUUCAGACAGUGGUUCUAUUUUCGCUUUCAUGGCUUGACCAACUCAUAUUUAAAAUAGAAAUUUAACAAAUGCUUAAAAAAAGUUAUAAAAAAUCCUCGGUUUACGUACAUAAUUACAUACAUUACUCUAAAGCUUCCCAACUUUCUCAAUGAGGGUAGGUCGAUGUAGAAGUUUACAUGAGUAUUGGAUUUUGCUAAUUGUAUACUAAUUUGAGAUUUUAAAGUUUCGCAUUGUAUGUAUAAAAAUCUUUAUACUUCCAGAACUAAUCCAGUAUGAUAUUGUAAAGUCCCAAAGAGGCAAGGAUCUUCUAUUAGUCGAAGGCUUCACAUACUCCAAAGGCGGCAUAUACCGUUGGAACUGUUCAACCCAUUACCCCACAUGUAAAGCGCAGCUUAGAUUGAACAAAGAAGGGCUGAUAGAUAUAUACAAUAACGCUCACAAUCAUCUCCCGAAGAAAAUAAUCCGUACAAGUGGAGGGGAGUAUUUUAGAAUAUAGGUUCAAAGCAAGUAUGUCCAAGCGAAUGAAGAUAUUCGGAUUUGUUCCCAGUUAGGCUACAUUCACACGGCAUUUGAAGAAACGUGCAAUACGGCACUGUCUUGCACAUUUCUUACUGUGUGCGUCAUAAUGAAUAAAUAGUGGCAUGAAUAAAUAAUAAUAAAAUAGUGGCAUAGGCUAGUGGGGAUUAUCUUGACACCUGGCUCGAAUUAUGUCAUGUUAAUGCGUUGUACGUAGAAGCGUUAAUAUGUAAUGCAAAAAAAAAACGUACAACGUUUCAACGUUGACUUUGUUUUGAUUUUGAAUAAAUUGAAAUUGUUGUAUAAGUUGCUUUAAUUCUGAUUCGGCUGAAGUAAAAUUAUUCGCAAAAUCAUCGGUUUUACUUACUCUCCAAAACAUGACGACACAACUUUGUUUUGGAGAAUGAGUGGUGUACUGGAGAGUGGACAGACACACUGACUUACGCACCUACAUCGACAUUUUUGGUGCAGGAUAUUAAGAAUAUGGCUUAGAGGGACUACAAACCUUCAGUUUUUACUGUACAGUUUUAUCUAGUCAUAAUUUCUACUGUACUGUGAUUUCAGAUAAAACUGUGCAGUUAGCUAAGAAUUGCCUGGAAGUAGAUCUGUCCAUCGUAUUCAACCAAGGGUUUGACUAAGUAAAUGCAUUAGAUAUAUCUAUCUACUUGAUUACUACCUACCAGGUAAUUGAUAAAUGUAAAGGUACAGAAUAGUUUAACGCGGUCUACAAGUGAUAAAAUUUAGCAAAGAGUAUGAUGUACAAUUGUAUAUAGCAUAAUUAUUAUAUAUGUCGCUUUUGCGCCCCUAUAAUUAGUCAUGCCGUCCCUUUUCGACUCUGUUUGAGUUGGUGUAUCUGUAAAUACUGAAUAUUCAGUGAAGUAGACUGACUCCGCGCCACAAAACAAUUCCCGUAGACGCGGCGCUAAUGUCUUAAUGGCGCUCAUUGUCAUUUGGUAAUGGCUGUCUUAAUGACAUUUGUGUAAGGCGCUGUCAAUUUUAGUUAGGUUUUAGUCGCGGGACUUCUUUCGUGGCGCGGAAUCUACGUAACACAUCUUUAGGAAAAAAUCUCAACAACAAAAUAAGGAACUUUAUUGAAAAAGUGAAAAAGUCUUACCAUUUGAUUUAGUUAAUAACUGUGAAGAAUUGUGGAAGGGAAGGUAUUUUCAGUGAUUGUCAAAAUGUUGUUUUUUUCAGUAUUACGCUAUGAUGUCGUGAAAUCUCAAAGGGGUAAAGAUUUGCUUCUUGUGGAAGGAUUUACAUACGCGCGAGGUGGAGGAUACCGUUGGAUAUGUUCCACGCAUCACCCGUCUUGCAAGGCCAAGUUGAAACUAAAUAAAGAGGGUAUUAUUGAGCUAUAUUACAAUAAUCAUAAUCACCAAUCGAAAAAAAUCUUUCGGACUCAAACUGGAGAGUACUUCCGUAUUUGAGAUCGGAUUUUGAUGUUUUUUUAGUAUUAAAUUCGAAAAGGAGUUUAAAACAAUUAAGUAACUGAAUGCCUUAUUAGAAAUUAAAUUUGGAUAAUGUACUUUAUUUAUGUAAUUUUUGCUUAAAAAUAUAUUUUAUAAUAUUUAAUAAUAGUUUAUUAAUUUUCGUUAGUUUCUUCCCCCUUUUACUUAGAUCUUUCCUUAACAACUUUCUUUAUUAUUUAUUAAGAAGAAUAACUUUUUUGUGUAUUGUAAAUUAAAAAUUGAAGAAUUAUUUUAAAUGUUUAAAAGAUAACGCUAUAUUAUAUAGACAAACUUAACUCUUUAUCUCAUGGCGCACAUGGGUCGCAGCAAGACGUGCUGAGAUUUGAUGGGAAUAAAAUGAUAUGUAGUUUUUAUAUUCACUCAUAGAUUACGAAAUAAUGCCGCCGCAACGUGGCAAAUCCCUGAUACUGGUGGGAGAGUAUACCUUCGCUAAGACAAUCACUCCGAAAGUGUGGAGUUGCUCCACGAGGCUACCAGAUUGUAAGGCCAAGCUAAAGCUAAGCGACGAUGGCGUUAUCACGGAGAUAUAUAACAUUCACACGCAUCCAGCGAGGAAAUUUAUCAGGACAAAGGAGGGGACAUAUCUAUCUAUAUUUAUAUUAAAAAAUAAAGUUUAAAAACUAUAAACCUAAACUAUAACUAUAACGUUUAAAAUGAUCUAAGAAGGACGAAACAGGAAAAUAAUUUCGAGAAAUGCAUAGGUACAAAAGCGGCCAAGGUAGAGCCGUGGUCGCACUCACUAAACCUACCUAUGUUUAAUGGAGGUGUUCCUGGCAAUAUCACAGAAAGCAUAAUCUGCCAUGACCAUUUUUGUACCUGUGCAUUUCUCGAUUUCUAUCUAAAUUAUUUUUUAGACUGCCAAAAUCAUCACCCUGCCCGACUACAGCGAAGCCUAGGCCUCCCCGUAGUUUGAAAAGUGUUUGAAAGUUUACAUGGAGUUUCACGCGAAAGAAGUCGCGGACGUUCGCUAGUGUACGAAUAUAAGUGCAGUUUAGCAAAUAAAUCAUCGCUUAUGCAGGACAGACCUGCAGUCGAACUGUUCAUUUAAAGUCGUCCGUGUGUAGGCAAAACUGAGAACUCUACAGUUUUUAAUGUACAGUUUUUCUAUUGAUAUUUAUCGAAAUUUUGAUUAAUAAAACUGUACAGUUAAACUGAAGGUUUGUAGCCCGUAUUAUACAACUUGACAAAGAAAAUCUUUGAAGCAUUCCUUUGUAGCCUUUACCUAUUGUUUGAAUGAUUUCAUAAUAUGUUGUUGAUAUUAUUUUUCUUUAGCAUGUUCGAAAUGCUUUUAUGUCAGCCUUUGACGAUCAAGUAAGCUCACGUGCCUGCUGCGCUAACGGCUUGACAACCGAUUAAACUGUACAUGUGCGUGUCAUCAUACCGAUCGCGACCAACCUACGAUCAGUUUUAUCGGCUGUCAAGCGCUGCAGGCAUCUGAGCUUACUUGAACGUCAGUGGCUGACAUUACUCAAGUUUUUGUUUACUUAAAUGCUUUAUAAAUUAAAAGUAUGUAUUAUGUGUCAUGUAUUUUUUUUUAAUUUGAAUAAAGAGUUAAUUUGUUUGGUAUCUAUAGUAGUGUAUAAACUCUUACGAACCUGAGAUUAACGAGCACAGAGAAGCUCAUUAUAAGAAUUCCUAGUUAGGCUUGUGCUAGACUAAAAUCAUACCUGAUGGUAUACAUCUGCAGUGGUAAGCUCUAAGUAGGAUUGCUCUUUCUUAGAAGAUAAUUGAUUAAAAUUCGACGGCCUCCGUGGCGCAGUGGUAUGCGCGGUGGAUAUCCAAGACGGAGGUCCUGGGUUCGAUCCCCGGCUGGGCAGAUUGAGAUUUUCUUAAUUUGUCCAGGUCUGGCUGGUGGGAGGCUUCGGCCGUGGCUAGUUACCACCCUACCGGCUAAGACGUACCGCCAAGCGAUUUAGCGUUCCGGUACGAUGCCGUGUAGAAACCAAAAGGGGUGUGGAUUUUCAUCCUCCUCCUCCAAGUUAGCCCGCUUCCAUCUUAGACUGCAUCAUCACUUACCAUCAGGUGAGAUUGUAGUCAAGGGCUAACUUGUAAAGAAUAAAAAAAAAAAAAAAAUUGACUAUUCACUCUGAUUUACGAUGACCCGCAGUUCUGUGGUAAAAAGAUCAGGAACUCUACAAUCUUGUCCUAAUUUAACCUAGAUUAUACCGUUAAUACCGUGCGCACUCUUUGAGUGCGUAUGCUAGACCAAUAUAGGUAUAAAUCUUGUCCAUGUUGAGCUUUAUUAAAUGUUUUUGAAUUCAGUCACAGAUUAUCAAAUAGUGACGUCGCAACGUGGCAGGUCUCUAAUACUGGUGGGAGGCUAUACUUUCACUAAGAGAACUGGACGACCGAAGCUAUGGAAUUGCUCUACGAAGAUUCUAGACUGCAGAGCCAGGCUGAAGCUGGAUGACAACGGUGUGAUUGAGGAAAUAUAUAACACUCACACGCAUCCAGCCAGGGAUUUUUUCAUGACGAAGGAGGGAAAAUAUGUACGAAUAUAAAUGCAACGUAUGUGGCCUUAAAAAGAUGUCGAUGUUCCCUACGUUCGAAAGGAUAUGUCGUAAAUGAUUUUCUUUUAUUGCAUUUAUGUUUUUAAAUUGUCCAUACUUUCAUGGUCAUUUAAGAUUAUUUCAAAAUGUCACUAUUAUGAAUACAUAUUACAUGUUAUACUUCACAAGAUGUAACUCAUACAAGUGAACAAGUAUUUAUAAUGUUAAAGAAUUGGUGUGCUAAAUGCGAAUACAUAUAUUCACAGAAAAUAUAAACACUUGAAAUUGCAAAGAAGGCGGGACACCUUAAAUUUUUUUUUUCAAGAAUAUUUGUAUUUCAUUAGUCUUGCAUCAUAUAAUAAAGCUUAACAUGCGUUAUGGUUGACCUAUGUCAAACUGAAGUGAAGUUACCAUUUAGUCAAGAGCUCUAAUGAACCUAUAAUUACUGUUAUUAUUAUUACAAUAAUAUGUGUAUUUGUGUGUGCUGUGCAAUUUGUAAAACGACCCAGUAUUUAUUUUCAUUCAUAACGUUUUUCAUUCUGUGUAUACUGACUAGGUAAACUGAUGACAUGCAGGAGAUUGCCGACGGAAGUGACCCUUGCUACAGGCCUGCAGUUUUAACUGUACAGUUUUAAUUGAACAGUAGAACUGUUCAGUUGAAUCUUUCGCGUGUAGUUCCGUCAAUUUUAACUAUGCAGUUUUUUGUAAUGGUUUUGAUUGAAAUUACGAUUGGCUAAAACUGCACAGUGAAAACUAAAGGUCUGUAGCACCUCUAAGAUUUAAAACUAUCUUAGAGGUUCUACAGACAUUUGUGACCGCUGAAAUUAGGUAAGUUUAUUUGACGAACACAAGUCCGUUACUACUGUUGACAGAAAUAAAUAACUUUUGGUGUCAGAAUGGACCUUGCGGGGUGCCGUACUUACUAUGUUAUAACUACUUACUACUUUUUGAUAUAGUUAUUAAAUUAUCCUUAUUUCAUAUAAGUAUAACUUUUUUUUUAGUCAAUUAUGGUCAAUCGUGGAGCAAAUACCUUAAACGAAGUAUAUGAAGACAUGUUCUAUGCUCAUGUUUAUUAUUAUGUAUAUUAACUUAUUAUUCUGCUUGUUUGAUCAAACAAUAAUUUUAUAUUAUUUAUUUAAAGGAUUGAAUGCAGAUAAAUAUAAUUCUAUGGGUUUAAACGAUCAAUCUUUGGGAGUUGUCAGCGCUAUAGAUGAAAUCACCAAUGAAAUUCCACAGUCAAUACAUACAAAUUCAGUUAUUGUUAAAGAAACUAAUAGUGAAGAUAAUUUGGCAGUACAAUUAUCACGAGCGGAUUCAUUUGCUUCAACAUCGCCAACGUCACCAAAGACUCUUGAAGGGUUUAAACAUGGUCGUAACUCUUUUAGUACUGAUACGUCAUCUGAUACAACCUUAAAAUCAAGCCUUGCAGGACCCAGUAAAAUGUCUGAUUCAUCAAAAUUGCACAAAAAAAGGAACAGAAGUAUUAACAAAUCUAACUGGCUAGAUGUAAAAAGAAAAUCACUUGUUAAUUUAGGUGAAGCUCAUAUAUCUCGUUCCGGAAAACAACAAAUGGGAAAAAAAAUUAGGGGUCCGUGUAAAUCAAAAUGUCGUUUGAAAUGUUAUGAGAAGUUUAGUAUGGUAACUCGUCAAGAAAUAUUUAAAACAUUUUGGAAUCUGGGUGAUCAUUCUGAUCAGUGGUCUUUUAUUGCGUCACACAUGAAGCAAAUAUGGAAAAAGCAAUGGUCCGAGGAAUCCAAAAAGCUAAAUGUGUAUAAGUUUUUCUUGCCAGUUUUCUCUGACGAUGGCAAUGAACAGGUUAUGGUGUGUAAAACCAUGUUUAAAAACACACUUUCCGUUAGCAACACUUUUAUACAAUCUGCUAUGGAGAAGUAUGAUACUGAAAUGGGUGUCUGUACUAAAGAUAUGAGAGGCUGUCACAAAAAUCAUCCGAUUGUUAAAAAUUCUGCAAUGAAAGAUACCGUAAUCCAACACGUGAAAAGUUUUGCAUCAAAGGAAAGUCCUUCUACACACAAAGACUCUAAUAAACUGUAUUUAGACAGCGAUAUGACUUUUAAAAAAAUGUACGACCAGUAUGUUUUAAGAUGUAAAGAGCUGAAUUUAACGGAUAAUAUAGCUAAUUUAAGGCAAUACAAAGAUAUAGUUGAUAAAGAAUUAAAUGUUGUUUUUCAUGUACCAGAAUAAGAGGACUUGAGUUCCGUAAUGAAAAACAUCACUUCACCUUAAUCAUGUCACACAUUGAUAUCAAGAAUCUUACUAGGUUAAAAACGUAAAUAUAAUUGAGUCUCAAUCAAAAUCUUUUGAAAUUUGCACAUCUAUGUAAUUUCAAAAAAAUAAAUUACACUCAACACGAUGAAAUUAGUGUUUCACUAAAGACACAUUUAAUUUGUUCUGGUUUUUUUUUCGUGAAAACCAAAUAAAAAACAAUAUAUAGAAAAUAACAUAAAUAUAAGGCAUUUGUAGAGCAAAACGAACAAAAUGCUCUUCAGAACCUCACUUAUUGUCUUGUCGUUUUGAACGUCCAAAUUAUUUGCCUCCACCUUAUUAAUCAUAGAUGGGUAUGUUGUGGUAGAAACACGAGGCCAGUAAAGUGAUGUAUAAUGUUGAAGUUGUCGUACGUAAAUCCAUUGCAUUCAAAAUGCCAUGAUUGAACCACACCUUGGUGCGCUUCACUUGUUGCAUUUAGGUCUUUAUAGAGUAUUCUGAUGCCUGCUCUUUACGUUGGCUAAUACGUUGGCCAUUACGUUGGCCAAUAUAUUAGCCAAAUAUGUUGCCUAACACCUUGGCCGAUAAGUACCUUGACCAAUGUGUUGGCUAUCAUGUGUUCGAGAAUCUCGCGAGAUUGUGAAUUGUCAAUAGAUUGUGAACCGCAACAUACUGUUUACAAUUGAACGUGUUUAUAUUCGGUAUAUUUUUUUUAAUUUUUUAUUUGUACGUUCACAAAUAAAAAAAUGCUUAAACUAACCAUAGGUUUCUGAAGCACUCUAGUUCCGGUACUUAGGAGUGUGUAUGGAGUUCACAAUCUAUUACAAACUCGCGAGAUAGAUUAUUAACUAACGGUAUUUAUAAUUUUACGCUGACAUAUACAAAGAUAUUUCCACCAGCGUACCGUCGGGAUAGUAUCGCUUUGUUGGCCACAGAGUUUGCAUAAUUUAAUAGCGAGAAUAUUGCUGUGAUUCCUUGGAUGGUCGCCUUUACGAUGGUUUAUUAUAAUGAUGAAUUUAUUUACAGUAAUAGACAACCGGAUUCUGCAUUUUGAACGCGGGAAGCCAAUGCUGUUCGCUGGGGGUUACACCUUCGUCAAGCUUACGCAAAGUUUAUGGGUGUGCUCGAAAACCGUUCAGUGUAAAGCUACCUUAAGGCUGAACCGCAAAGGCGUUAUAACUGACAUCUACAUUGGACACACUCAUCCACCCAGAACAUUUAUAAAAACUAAACGCGGUUUGAUCUCAAUCAGUAUUAAGUAGGUUUGUUAAGUCAGCCACUGACGAUCCAAUAAGCUUACAUGCCUGCAAGCUGGUUGGUCGUGUCAUCAUGCACAUCACGACCAACACAUGAUCAAUUUUAUCGGACGUUAAGCCGUUAGCGCUGCAGGCAUGUGGGCUUAUAGUAUUAAAAAAUAGAAGUUUUUUGUUGUAUAUUUUUAUUUAUUUACUUUUAAUUUAAAUUAAAUUGACCGUUUGAUCUCAAAUAAUAUUAAGUAGUGUAGUUGCUUUUUUCUUGUUGUAUCUGUAUAUUUUUUAUUAACUUUGUUACAAUUUCUUCUUCAAUUUUAAUUAGUUUUAUUGUUGAUCUAAAUUAUUAUUACUUUACUUAGGUUUCUUACAAAAUAUAUGUUUUUGUUGUAAUUGUUAUGUUUUUCAUUUCAAUGUUCUUCUUUAAUUUUAUUUUUUAAUAAUUCAAUCACAUUUCAAUCUGAUUAAAAACGUGACUGUAUGUAGAUACAGUUUUCUUUUACUUUAAUUAAAAAAAAAUUUAUCCACAUUUGUAAGUAAACUCUGUUAUACAUAAAUUAUCAUAGAUAAAUAAAUUAAAAGAUAAAUGUGUGUAGGUCAUUUACGUGCAUACACGAAUUAUAUAUGGUCAAAGUUAAAGAGGUGAAUAUUCUGCUACGAAUAUAUGUGUAAAUACAGUUUACCUCUAAGUUACGCACUUAUUUUUAGAAACAUAAUUUUGCUUGAUUGUCAAAUUUAAAAUAUGCCUAUAUCAUUUCGGGAACAGUUCUUAAAGUAUGUUUCGUAAUUCAUAGAAAUUAAACUAGAAUAAAAAUAUCUUAAUUACAUAAAUAUAACAUUAGAAUAACUUUAACAACAAAUUAAUUUAAGUAUCUAAUAAUGAAUAAUUUUAUGAAAUGGACUAAUAGAAGUACGCGACGGCGUGGAAGUCCUCUAGAUAUUAGUCUUUAAUAAAUGGUGUUAUUUGUUUUUGGGUAUAAAGCAUUAAUUUAGAGGAAGUAAAAGUAUCUGCGGUUUCAUUAACUGUAACUAUACCAUCAUCUCCUUUCCCUAGUCCCACUAAAAUGGGGUCGGCAAAAUAUGGCAAUCUUCUCCAUUCAUGUCUAUUACUCGUCAACACAUCAUUCACUCCCUUUACACACAUGUCCUCUUUCACACACUCCAACCAUCUCAUCUUUGGCCUUCCUCUCCUCUUGUGUUCUUCCACUUGCAAAUUCAGCAAUUUUUUUGGUAUAUGACUUUCAUCCCUCCGCAAUACAUGUCCAUACCAAGCUAAUCUUUACUCCUCAAUUUUUCUGUCACUGGCGCCACUUUCAGACAACCUCUUAUAUACUCAUUCCUUAUUUUAUCCAUUCUUGUCACACCAGACAUCCAUCUCAACAUAAAUGCGUAUGUUGCGAUGGAUGUCUGGUUCACAUGCAUUCUUUUACUAUCCGUCCCUUUUACCGUCUAACAUAAUGAUCCAUACAGCACGACCAAUUAAUUUUCAAUUUAAUUUUAGGUGUCAGUAUUCUUUCUUUAGAAAUACCAAGAAAGAAAACAAAAGUUAAGAGAAAAAUGUCAAAUAAGACGAUAAACCUAGAUAGUAGAGCUUAUAAAAGACAUCGUGAACUAGCCAACGCGAGGAAGCGUAAGUUUUUAAAUAAGAUGACACCUGAGCAGAAAGAACUAAAAAGACUGAAAGAUAGGGAAUACUACCAAAGAAAAAAAGGUGAAAUGAAAAUUAAGGUCAUAAGUGAAAUGUCAGAAAGAGAAAAGAUAACGCAGAGAAUAAUGUGGAGGAAGUCUUCUCAAAAAUACAGACUAAAAAAAGAUUUUAUCAAAUAGUUUGGAUUCAGAUUAAACAAGAUAAUUAGGGAAACGUACAACGUACGUUUUUUUAAUACAUACAUACGUAAACGUAAACGUAUUACGAAGAAUUCAGAAUACGUAAUAUUCCUAAAUACUUACUAAAAACAGUUUACCAUUAUUAGAAAUAUUAAUAUGUUGUAUUUAAGCUAUGUUCCACGUAGUCAAGUUUAAAUAAAGAUUAUUAAAAACCCCUAUUAUUUUCAUUAAAAUAAAUUUUAGUUAGAUAUUGCGUUUAAGAAAUGAAUUAUAGUUACCUACUUUAAAAACGUUUUCGAAAUGAUUUUCAACUCUACUAUAUUCUCAUUAGGUACUUAUAUUUCUCUUGACCGCUAAAAAUUUCACAAUAUGUUCUGUUCAAGAGAUUUUUUCAGUGUCUUACAUUUAUAUAAGCAUACGAGUAGUUAAUUUAAAUUAAAUUAUCAGAUUUAUAUUUCAAGACAUAAUGUGCACCUCUCUAAUUUGACAUUAUAUUUUAGACACAUGUUAUAGGAGCGUAGUGGGUCAAGUUUAAUAUUUUAAUGUGUAGUAAAAUAUUCUUAUAGCAAAAAUAAAGUGGGUAAAUGUAGUUAUAGAAGUAAUAUCUAGUUGGCUAAUUACCAGUUACCAUCCUACCGACAAAGACGUACCGCCAAGCGAUUUAGCGUUCCGGUAUGGUGUCGUGUAGAAACCGAAAGGGGUGUGGAUUUUCAUCCUCCUCCUAAGAAGUUAGCCCGCUUCCAUCUUAGAUUGCAUCAUCACUUACCAUCAAGUGCGGUGGUAGUCAAGGGCUAACUUAUAAAGAAUAAAAAAAAUACUAGUCCUUGAGGGACCAGGAAUAAAUUAUUUAUUAAAACCUACUGCUUAAAUUUUGUGUAUCUAUGGGAUGUGAUAUUGACCUCGAGUCGGAUAUAGUUAUGGACUUAGCGAACCAUAGUGGUGGGUUUUUUUCUUUCCAACCCAUCAUUAACAUUUUUGUUCUUGGCCCCAUUCCUUAUAGUCCUUGGUUCUAGCCCAAGGACUGUAAGGACUCUUUCAAGUUGGAUUUUAAAAGCUCUUUAGACUAGUCAAGUUCAUCGGAUAGUGACUCUAUUGCCAGAGUGUAAUGUAGAUAACUAUAGCUUAGCAACUUCGUAACACUCCAGAUAUUGCGCGCAGGGCGGGGGGCGUGUAGUGAUGAAUGAAAAACCCACGACUGAUGCACGCCAAAUUCCCGCACGCACGAUUCCACACCCGCGCAGUAUUUCCGCCCGUCGCCCGCAUAUCAUAGGAGUGUUAUCAACGAACUUGCCAGACUAUAAUUAAAAUCUUUAAUGAUUAAAAUUCGUGUAUUUCAAGUAGGCUUAGUUUAGCAGCUUAAAGUUAUCUGUUUGUAGCGACACCUAUUCGGGUAGUAAUGUAGGUUUAAUAGACAAAAUCUCUAAAUUAUUAAAAUAAAUAAAAUAAAGUAAAUAAAUAAACGUGAUAGAUUAGUAACAUUCCUUUAUUUUAGCAAAAUAUCAAGCAUCAAUAUUUAAUUAUUACUCAUAGUAUAGUAUAGUCUUGUCACGAUUUAGUUUAUUUAUAAAUAAAUAAAUGACGUUUUGUCCUACUUUCAAAUUAAAUUAAUUAAACCCACGGCGUAGUUGUUUCAUUUAUGUAAUUGAUUGAUUGAGAGCUUGUGAGAAACAGGAGGGUAGAGUGCGCGCAAGAUAACUGCGCGCGACUGGCGGCGCCAUUAUGUUGCCAGCGUUAGUGAUCUCUUUUACUCGCCAAGAGAUAGAUAGAGAUAGACGACAAGAUGGCAGCACUUUUGAUUAGUUCCGAUUUUGGUUACGCGCAAACUUAUCUUGCGCGCUCUAUAAUGGUGUAACUUGAUCGUACACGUCGAAUAAAUGUCACAUCUCUAGGAAAACUGUCUCUUUGACAAGUAUAUUGGAUUUGCUAACAAACGGAUCCAAUCAAGUUCCGCGAUUACCCCCCUGACUUUGACCCACUUGAUUUUAUAGUAACAAUAAAAUUGAAAAUUUUGAAAAAUCUCCGAAUGUCAUGAAAUUAUUAAUUACACUCUCGAUCAAGUCAUCAAUAUGCUUUUUCAGUGCGCUUUCAUUUGAGACCCCACUCGAGUAUAUUUGCAGACAUUCGCUUGUUCUUCCCCACUUUCACCCCCCACAACUUUUAAACGGCUCAACCGAUUUUCAUCAAGCAUGUCUAGGAACACUCAACCGUAAGUCACCUUUAAUACAAAAAAACUAAAUUGAAAUUGCUUCAUCCGUUCAGGAGCUAUGGUGCCACAGACAGACAGACAGACACGUCAAAUUUAUAACACCCCUCUUUUUGCGUGGGGGGUUAAAAACGAAAAGUUUGUCAGCCCAUGUCAUAAAUCGGUAGUAACUAUUGAGUUAAGAUCAUAAUGGCUUUGGGAAGCAGCACGUUUCAAGGGUCCAUCAGUCAUCAGGAUAUUCUAAUACUAGCCACUCACCAUCCGAUAAGCCCAUAUGCCUGCAUUGCCUGUGUUUAUCGCGAUAGGAAUGAUGUCAUGCAUAUCGCGGCCAGUUUUAUCGGACGUAAAGCCGUUAGCGCUGCAGGCAUGUCGGCUUAUCGGAUGAUGAGUGGCUAGCAUUAAGAUAUCCUGACCUUAGUCGCGAGUAUCAUAGCUUCGCGUAUAGUUAUAUACGUAGCAUCGCGCUAAAAGUGACUAAUACGAUAAUAUGUUCAAUAUACAAGCACAAUGCAUGAAUGUACCGGCUGGCCUAUUCACUAUUUUGGCCUUUAUUAUCAACCUUUUAAAAUAGACAUCAAAUAAAUUGAUAAAUGUCAUCUAUCUACUGUAAGAUAUCCACGAGUAGGCACCGGAUGAUAUUUGUUACAUAGAAUCUCAAUUUCGUAUGUCAUACGAAAUUGAGAUUCUAUGUAACUGUAUUCUGAGAUACGUCAAAGAUAAUGAAUUAGCCUGCUGGUAAAAAUAAUUUAAAUAUACUUUGUUUAUAUUCGUAGAUGCCGUAGAUUUAUGUACUUUGUUUUGUUUUAAUUCAUAUGUUUCUUGUUUAGAUGUAACAUACGAAAUCGUGACGUCGAGGCGUGGUAGAUCCCUGCUAUACAUAGGUGGCUAUACGUUUUCAAAAUACAGCCGCAACAUGUGGAAAUGUUCUACUCGUUCAAAGACACUCGAUUGUAUGGCGAAGCUGAAACUGAACGCCGAAGGGAAGAUCGUUAAUUUGUUUAACAUUCAUACACACCCUCCAAGAAGGUUCGUCAAAACUGCGGCUGGUCAAAUGGUUGUAGUUAAAGAGAAGAUCCAUUAUUAGCCGCCUUUAAAAAGGCGGAUAUAAGUUCGACCUUUGUAAAUGUAAUGUUUUUAGAAAUUCACAAGCUUUUGUAUAUGUUUAGAUAGGCGGCUAUACGUUUUCUACUCGUAAAUACAGACGCAAUAUAUGGAAAUGUUCUAAACCUACAAGGACACGCAAUUGUAUGGCGAAGCUGAAACUGAACGCCGAAGGGAAGAUCGUUAAUCGUUGUUUAACAUUCAUACACACCCUCCAAGAAGGUUCGUCAAAACUGCGGCUGGUCAAAUGGUUGUAGUUAAAGAGAAGAUCCAUUAUUAGCCGCCUUUAAAAAGGCGGAUAUAAGUUCGACCUUUGUAAAUGUAAUGUUUUUAGAAUUUCACAUGCUUUUGUAUAUGCUUUGAUAUGUGGCUAUACGUUUUCUACUCGUAAAUACAGCCGCAAUAUAUGGAAAUGUUCUAAUCGUACAAGGACACGCAAUUGUAUGGUGAAGCUGUAACUGAACGCCGAAGGGGAGAUCGUUAAUUUGUUUAACAUUCAUACACUCCCUCCCAAGGAGGUUCGUCAAAACUGCGGCUGGUGAAAUAAUACCAGUCAAAGAGAAUAUCCUUUAUUAGCCGCCUUUAAAUGGCGUAUAUCAGUUCGACUUCUAUAAAUGUAAUGUUUUUAGAAUUUUACAUGCUUUUGUAUAUGCUUAGGUUUCUAAACAUGUGUCAUAUAAAUGUAUCAUGUAUGUUUGUAAAUGUAUGUAUACGAGUACGAGUAUAUAAAACUGUAGCAGGUCCAAUUCUAUACAUUGAAGAUAUUUAAAAUAUCUUCAAAUUCAAAUUUCAAUUAAACAAUCGAUAUUGAAAUAUAUAUUUUAUUUUUUGUCUGUCUGUCUGUAUUUUUGUGUACCAGGCAUCACGCUGAAACUACUGAAUGAAUUAAAAUUAAACUUGGCACCAUUUGAGACUAUAAUAUGAAGAAGUUGGUGGUGGAUGGAUAGGAUAGUUUUUGUCGCGGAUAUUAAAGCUAAAGGGGGUAAAACAGGGGUUGAAAGUUUGUAUGGAAAGUCCUUCAUUUUCAAGUUACAUUAGUAAAUAUUGGUAUGUACUUAGAAAAAUACUAAAAAUAAUGUCAUUAUUUUUUUUAAUUCGUCCCCUAAAGUGUUAAAAAGGGGUUUAAGAUUUUUUUAAUAUAAACUAAAUAAAGUUUGAGUUAUAUUUUUGUAAAAUGAUUAGUGGAGUAUUAUAUAUAAAACAUGUCAAAAUAUAAAUAGAAGGGGGUGAAAAAGGGGUUGAAAGUUUGGAGUUUCACGUGGACGAAGUCGAAGGCGUCCGCUUGUUGUAAAUAUAAGUGAAGAGAGAGCGAUAAGUUGUCGAAUUUAUCUUGUUAUCUCACGGCACUGAAGUUAAGUAACUAACGGUUAUAAUAACAGAGCACUUAACAGUUCUUGCAGUUUACCCACAUGUAGUAGAUAUAUAUGUACAUUACUCUAGUCAUUAUAUUAUUAGUAAUUAAGCAUGCAAUUUAUUUAGACUAGUCAAGUUCAUCUGAUCUCUAUUAUCUGAAUGCAAUGCAGACAACUAGAUUAAAAUAUUUUGGAUAUUUAUGUUAAAUGUGUAUGAAGUGUAAAAUUCGUGUAUUUCAAGUAGACUUAGUUUUAGCUUAGUCAAAAAUUUAAAAUUUAUCUGUUUGUAUAUUCGGAUGGUAAUGUUGGUUUAUAUACAAAAUCUUUAUUGCACAUAUAUUAUAUCUUUCUUUGUGUGUCCGAAAGGUUGGCUAUAUUUGGCUGAAGGCGGAAUACCAAAUUAUUAAAAUAAAUGUGAUAUAUUACUACAAUUCGUUUUAACGAAACAUUUCCCAUAGUAUAUUAUAGUCAAAUCAAUCAAUUUAUUUUACCAAUAAAUAAAUGAUGUUUGACCUACUAACAAAUGAAACUAAUUAAGCCCGCGGCGUAAUUAUUUCAUUUAUACAUAUAAUUAUAGAUUGAGAGCCCUUGAGAACCAGGAGGGUAAUGGGGAUGAUGACUAGGUUUGAAUAUAUUGAUUUUUAUGAUACAUUUGGGUAAAUAGGGUCAAUGUUAACUAAUUCAUACAUAAAAAGCAAAGAUUGUCUGGAUAUUUGCAAAAUAAAUGAGAUUAUAAAAUUUCUAAAACUACUAACAUUUUUUUAUCGUAAUUAGAUGAAAAUUCAUACAGUUUUAGCUUCCUUGCAUUAAAUGUGACAUUUUUUAAUAUUUGAACUAUAAAGAUAAACGCACAAAUAACAAAGAUAUUAGUAAUUUUGUUUGAACGCGCAUACAAAUCUAACGAUCAUUACAUUGCCUAUGACGUCAUUUUUUCGAGCCAUUUUGUAUGGGGCGUUUUUCAGGGAUCCGCGGCAGCGCCGCAAAUCUGACCCUUUAAAUCCCUGUAGCUCCGAAAGUAAUGAUCGCAGAUACCCUGUUCCUUUUACAAAAUUGCUUUACUAUUAGUAUACUCUUAAUUUAUAUACAAUUUAAAAAACUGUCAUCAUCCCUAUUGUGUAACUUGAUCGAAUAAAUUCUAAUUAUUCAAAAUUCAUUAAUUUUAGGCUUAGUUUACAAGCACUUUUGAAUCAUCAAGUUAUGUCAUGAUUUAAUGGUGGUAAUUGAAGUCGUAAACUUAAAAUUAUAGUUACAAGAUUUCUGAACGCGCCUCGGUUCGAGAAGAGCCCACAACAAAUUCAGCCAAGGUUUAUUUUUUUGUUUGACAGCUCUGUUUAGUGAAAUAUACUUCAAAUAAAUGUCAAACCCUAGGAAAACUUUGUUUGAUAACUAUAAUGAAAUGAAUUUUACUAUCAAACGGAUAUAAUCUAGUUACGCAAUUUCCUUCGUGAUUUCAUUAAAACUGAAAGUUUGUUAACCCCCUACCAUAGGUAAGUACCUGCGGUAGUAACUCAAUAGUUUUGAUCGUAAUAAGGAAAAAACAAUCUGUAAUUAAUGAAUUAUUAAUUAAUUAAUUUUAUUAUUAUUGCUUUGGGUAUAUAUUUAUAGUAUCUAUAUAUAACAUAGAUAGAUAACCUACGAGUAAGUAAAAAAAAUCUUAGCAUUGUAAAGCAUUUACGUUUGAUUUAAGAGCAAAAAUAUGCACAUUAGGAAAAAAAGAAUUAAACUCGAAAAAAAGAAGUGAAAGUAAUUCCCUAAAGAACGAAAGUUGUUUUUUUUUUUUCACAAAAAUGUUUUGUAUGACGUCCGUUUAGUAUGUCGUGUUUGUUAAUUCCCUUUGAUGUCAUUUUAAACGGAUUCCACUGUACAAGCACAAUGCGUGAAAUUACCAAAGUGCCUAUAAAAAUAAUUUAAAUGUAUUGGCUUAAACUCGUAGGUGGCUUAGUUAUUAGUUUUGUUUGAAUUCAUAUACUUUUUUUUGUUUAGAUACAACAUACGAAAUCGUAACGUCGAAGCGUGGUAAAUCACUGCUAUACAUAGACGGGUAUACGUUUUCCAAAUGCAGUCGCAAUAUGUGGAAGUGCUCUACAAGGACACUCGAUUGUAAGGCGAAGUUGAAAAUGAACGCCGAAGGGGAGAUCAUUAAUUUGAAUAACAUUCACACACACCCGCCAAGGAGGUUCAUCAAAACUACGACAGGAGAAAUGAUUCCAGUUGCCGGCUACAUAUGUAAAGAGAACUUCGUUUUUUAACCGCCUUAAAAACGAGUGCCCAGGUUCAUAACAUUAUUUGGCAAUAAGAGGGUGCUGAUGGUGGAUGGCUAUACAUUCGCUAGGACCAACAAGCGGCACUGGUACUGUUCGAAGAAGGCUAAGGGAUGUAAAGCGAGGGUAGUUUUAAACGAUGCCGAGACUGAAGUGCUUGUGUGCGAGAAUGUACAUGACCACAGUCCGCCUGUGUACGGGAAAAGCGCCCAAGGGUUUUAUAUCAAACUCAGCGGUUAAAAAAGUACAAUUUUCCUUCACCUUUCAUAGCCUUACCGCGAGGACUGGUUCCGCCUCCAGAAUUCUAACCGAGCACCUCAUGAUUCGAAACCACACAGGCUAAUCAACGAGAUAACUAAAGAAUAAUAACAGACCGAAAGACAGACAGACAGGUAUAAUAUAUUAAGAAAAAGUUAUAUCAUAUAAUAAAUUUCUGUUAAUAGAACAAGAAGAAUUUAAUACAACAGUAGCGGAAUCCCCUCGGUUUCAUCCGCGUAGAUCCCAUUUUCGUGUAAAUACGCGGUUAAAAUAUGUGUAUCACUACAAAAUUUAAUUUGUUACUUGCUAAUAGUGUUGCUUUUCAGUGGCAGUAAUUUUUUUAAAAUCUAUUUAAUAGUUGCGGAGCCUAUUUGUAUCAAUAAUAUUAGUUUAGAAGAAGUGUAACGUGAGAUUAACUACAUUACCUCUCAUAUUAUUUUGCAUGUUUUUUUUUAUGUUCAUAAUGGUAUCCUCAGAAUAGGGUAUCAUAAUAAGAGAUUAAAUUAGGCAGCUUUGCUGUUAUUAUCUGUAUAAUGUGAAUUAGGGAACGGAGAUUGUUUGGGCAUAUACUUGUGCUUUGAAAUAUUCUUUGGGCAACUAGAAUACCUCAGCUGGAAAUUAAUCGUCGAAAUUUUAGAUAAUGAAUAUAUUAUUAAAUUGUGUUAACAUAGCAACCACAGGGGAUAUACCUAAUGCUCCUAUUUUAAGAACAUCAUAUUUUAAGUUGAUUCUCAUACUUUAAAAGUACCUAAUAAUAUACGUGUAACUAAUUAUAAGGCCUUUCAUUUGAUACCUCAAAACGAACCGACUCGUCAUUUUCAUUACAUUUAAAGUACAGACUAGGGCUGAAAUAAUUCUGUACAAUAAACGUAGUAGUGCCCACCUAUCUGUAAAUUCUAAAUUAUGCUUGUAAGGUAAACGGUAGCUUUUUUUUUGUAUUUGCUUAAAGUAUUUAUUUUUAAAUAAAGUUUUGUGUGUGAAAACACUUAUUAGAGCUAUAAAAUUAUGUACUUAAUCUGGUCAUUAUAAUUUUUAACUAGCUGACGCCGCGCGGUCUUACCCGCGUGGUUCCCGUUCUCGUAGGAAAACGGGGAUAAUGUAUAUAGCCUAUAACCUUCCUCGAUAAAUGGGCUAUCUAACACUGAAAGAAUUUUUCAAAUCGAACCAGUAGUUCCUGAAAUUAGCGCGUUCAAUCAAACUAACAAACAAAUAUACAAACAAACAAACUCUUCAGCUUUAUAGAUUUAGAAGUAUAGAUUAUCUAUAUAAUAAAUAAUCCAUUUGUUUUGCAGGUUUCAAAUUCAUACUAAUAACUGGCAACAGAAGGUUGCUCAUGUACGGAGGGUAUACGUUUACAAGAGCAAAGAUGACCCACUGGUACUGUUCGAAGAGGCUGAAAGGGUGUCCCGCGAAGCUGAUCUUGAGUCGUGACCAGUCGAGGAUCAUACUCCGCGACAUCUACCACCAUCACCCGCCACCAGUGUACAUACGCUCUAGUGAUGGGCGGUACAUAAAGAUUAGCAGUUGAUCGAAUAAGGCCUAAACCAAUGAUUGGCCUAAACCAUGUGUAAACCUAAUUUAUUAAUUGGAGUAUCUUCAUCCUAGCGUGGUCCCACUACGUGGGGUCCGCUUUUUGGUAUGAUCUCUCCCACUUUUCCAGAUAAUGGGCAUCCAAUUUCUUGAGUUUCUUGGCUCUCAAGUCGGCGUUUACGUCAAGCUAGCGCUGUUUGUGGUUUCCUGGGGAUUUAGCUCCAUGGACUGCGAUGUUGAGACAUCUGUUAAUUGGAGUAUAGGGGCUUAAAGCCGCAAUGUAAUUUUGAUAGGUCCCGUUUAAAAUGUAACAUCGGGAUGAGACGUGCUCAAGGUUUUUGACUAGAGUAGGCACAAAUUGCACAAAAUGAAAAAUUCCUGCAAUAUAAUUAUUUCGUAAUGAGUCCUUAGGGUAGGCAGUAUAUUUUUAAUCUUUAAUUUUUAAAUAUAAAAUAGCACCAGAGCGGUCGUCAAUUCUUAAUCUCUUAUACUAUAAAACUUUCACUCAUUAAAAAAGUUAAAAGUGUUAUUAAAAACCAUAUUCUUAACCUUAAAAUAAUAUAUCUCAUCAUCAACAUGGAUGGACAUCGAUUACAGUACAUCGGCCUUAGGGACUCUCGGUCCGUUUGCAUCCAGCGAUUUAUUGCGACUCAUUUGAUAUCAGUCCUUUUAGUAAAGGUAGCUUUUCGGUAAAUGGUCGUUAUUCCAACCCUCUUUAGGAUCUACGUCCAUCGGUCCAAUAAAUUGCUUCGCGACUUGUUGAAUCGCACUAGGUCAUUUUACGGAUCGCGAAAAAAUAUCUGCAAAAAAAAAAACUCAAUUCGAUCAUUUGUGAAGUGAAUAUGCUGAUAUUAUCAUUCUUUAUUAAUAAUCCACCACAGACUCUCAUUUACCUACACGAAUAAAUGGAUUAAUAACUGCCAGGCGUCGUAGCAAUUCUUUCUUCACCGAUAUACGAAUACCUAUGUUGUAGAUAGAUAUUCUUUGGACGCGUACUUUUGGUUGGUUCCUCAUUCCUUGAUACUGACCGAAAUGAUACGGAAUGCUCUUCCUAGUCACGUUUGCCUGCGUUUACCUUAUCCACAAUGUGAAUAUCGCUAAGGCAAGCAUAACUAAAUAGAAUAGAAUCUUCUAGGCAAGCGCGUUUUGCCAUAGACUGCGUAAAGGCUGCAUCAUUGCAUUUACCAUCAGCCGUGAUUGCAGUCGUUAGCUUAUAUCAUUAAAAAGAAAAAGAUAGGAGUCAUCGAUCAGGUGCUGAUCAAAUGUAUAUAUGUAACUAAAUACAAUGAAAGUACAAUGAAUAUAAAUAGAUAUGUAAUAUAUUUGCUUUAAUUAAAUAUGUAUCAUCUAGUUUAAAAUUUGCCUGAUAUUUAACUUGAAUGAUAUUUAUAUUUGUAUAUUUUGAUGUUUAGAUUUUGAGCAAUGUAUUGUAGUUCAUAGACUAAUAAAACCGCCAUCAUUCUCGUGAUUUUGACCAAUUAAUUCAACGCAUUUGUUUUAUGUCCGCUAUUUCCCUCUCAACCAAAACCCAAUUUAAAAGUAGUCCUUCUAUAGUAUUUCUAUUUGUUAAAUUAUGUUAACCUUAGUAUUGAGGCCAAGCAUUUCUGUAAAUUAAGGGUUGUUAUUUUUAUGAGGUUGUUGAUUAAAUUUUUUAUUUUUUACAUGUUAGCCCUUGACUACAAUCUCACCUGAUGGUAAGUGAUGAUGCUACGAUGAAAGCGGGCUAACUUCUUAGGAGUAGGAUGAAAAUUCACACCCUUUUUCAGUUUCUACACGACAUCGUAGCGGAAAGCUAAAUCGCUUGACGGUACGUCUUUGUCGGUAGGGUGGUAACUAGCCACGGCCGAAGCCUCCCACCAGCCUUAAGCGUAGCCACAGGUUGACGAGCGCUGGAGUGUAUAAAAUAUUGCCAUUCUGGAUGUCUGGACGAUAUGUCCGUUCCAUAAAAUAGUGUUUAUUUAUAAAAACAGUUGGAAUGCAAAUUCAUAUAAUUAUCGUGAUAUUUUAUCACCAUAACAUCUUAAUCAUAGGAAAUUGUAUUUAUAUUUUAGGUUACGGUUUCAUACCGACUAAAUACAAACAUAAACUUUUAAUGUUACACAAUAACCCUUUUUAGCAAGGCUCUUCUCAGAAAUACUGCUCUUAGAAGAUUUAAGGUUGUAAAGCCAGAAUUAGGCUGCAUGACAAAAGAAUGAUAAAAACUGCGGAUACCCAUUAUAGCCAUGCACCUCCACAAAUUCACGUUUCUGCUACUGGACAAUAUUCUAUUAACUUUAAAAAUGUUGAAGAGAAGAAAAGGUCAAUGAUUGAAAACUGUCUCUCACUGUCUGUCUUCUUGAUCGCAUUCUUUAUUGCUGAAGGUCGUGUCCGCACUGCAGUCCCUUCGAUGCGUUGUUUACUAUACCUCUCCACACAGUCCGGUCCUCAGCUUUUGUUAAUGGCUGUUGUUACAGGGACGCCAGUGAGUAACUUGACCUGGUCAGACCAGCGGGUAGGUGAUCGGCCGCGUGGUCGUUUCCCCUCCACUUUGCCCACUACUAUUAGUUUAUCCAGGUUAUCGGGAAGGCGAAAGGCUAUGUGACAAAAGUAACUUAAAAUCCUCUGAAAAUUCACUUUAGUAUACGUUUCUAGUAAACUGAGAAUCUGCGAUAGAGAACUUUAAGGGUCUCUAGCGAAGGGUUGCCAUUAAGCUAAGGGUCUAGCGACUGGAGACAUGAUUCUUCGUGAUACCUCGUAGAUAAUAUCUAAAUCUUACGUUUUUUACAUGGACAUGACAACAAAAAGCCUCAAUAGCUCAGUGGUAAAACAGAGGGGUCGAUCCUCGCUUGCUGGUCUAUUGUCGUACCCCGUCUAACAAAGUACUCUCCGACUAGUUUGAUGGACCGGGGACAUUGGUGAUAUUAAAAAAAAUGAUAUGGCAAAUAUUUAAGAAAAAAAUUGAGCGUUAGAUCCUUUAACCGGCUAUCAAAGUCACCUUGGUCCAAACUCUAUGAUUUUUUAUUUCUACUUACAUCGGCCGGUUCUUACACCAUGCUCUUACACCACAGACAAAACCGACUUCUGAAAUUAUGUAUCCAUUUUGUUUAAUAUAUGACUGGAAUCGAUUUCGUGUAUACUUUGUGACUUCGAUUAAGCAUUCCUAAAAUCUCCGUUUUACAGAAUUUCUGUUUUGCAACUAAACGGUUUGUUUUAUUUUUUACAGAUUUCGAAAUUAUAAACUUGCACGGAAACAAGAUGGUGCUCAUGUUCAGAGGCUAUACGUUUGCCAAAACUAGUAAACGACAUUGGUACUGCUCUAAACGGUUCAAGGGUUGCCAAGCGAAGGUUUUUCUGAAUUCUGAUGAGUCGGCAAUUGCUUAUUGUGACUCGAGUCACCAACACGAGCCGCCCGUGUAUAGAAAGGGUCCUGGGGGUAAUUAUUUCAAGAUUAGAGGUUAAUCUGCAAGAUAUACAAUGGGGAUGAUGACAGUUUUAUAUUAUGUAUAAGUUAAGAGUAUGCUAAUAAAAAAAAUAUAAAGAAAUUUCGUAAAAGUAACAGGGUAUCUGCGAUCAGGAGCUACAGGGAUUUAAAGAAUCCGGCUCGGCACUGUCACGCAUCCGUGAAAAACGCCCCAUACAAUAUGGCACGAAUGAAUGACGUCGUCGAUCAUAAGAUUUGUUUGGGUGUUCGAACAAAAUUACAAAUAUCUUUGUUAUUCGUGCGUUUAUGGUUAACAUGAGAAAAAUGUCUUGUUUACUGUAAGAAAGCUGAAAUAUUACAAAUUUUCAUCUAAUUACGAUAAAAGAUUUUUUAUAUGUAGGUACAUGUUUUGAAACUUUAUUUAUUUUACAAAAGUCCAGACAAUCUAUGUUUUUUUCAUGUAUUAAUUAGUUAAUAUUGACCGAUAUAUAUUUACCCGAAUAUCUCAUAAAAACCAAUAUAUUGAAACCUAGCCAUUCAGGCUAAGUCUCGUCGUAAUGUUGACGACGAUGUUCAUUAAAACGGCACUAAGAGUGUAGAUUUUACAAUUAAUAUUUAUUGUCAAUAAUAAAAGAUACAAUCAGUAUUACAUUCUCUGUAGAGGUAUUUUAAUUCCUUUGCGUUUUUGUAUAUUAAGUUUAUAAGUUAUUUUCGAUAAUAUAAGCAUAAUAGGAUAACUAGAGACUUGUUAACACCUGCUUGCACCACUACAUCUAAUAUGGCUACUAUAGUCUAUUUCUUGGUGAGAAUUGAUUUUUGUUGAUUUUCUUAUUAAAUUCCGUUUUACAGGUAAGAAAAGUGCUGAAACGCUAAAAAUGAACCACUCGUUCCAAAAAGGAAGCAAAAGAAGGAAAUGUGUCGUUUGUUACAAAAAACAUCGUGCAACUUUUACUAGUAAAGAAGCUGAUAAAAAAACAAAUAAAAGUCAAAGUUAUUGUGUUGAAUGUAAUAAAAGUUACUGUCAUAAAUGUUUUUAUGAUACACAUUUCUUAUCAUAAUGACUAUUCUGAUAAAAUUUUAAAAGUAUUAAUUUUAAUUUGAUUAUUAUUAAUAAUUUAUGUUUUUACCAAUAUCAAUUUAUGUUUUUCACAUCACUAAAAUAUCAUUAGCGUAGCAUAUAUGUAUAAUAGUAAUGAUAAUAUUAAAAUUACAAUAAUAUUAAUACUUAUACAGGCCUUGGGGGCUUUUUUAUUUUAGACGUGCUUGCUUUUCUGGCCGCCAGUCCAGCACAAAUUUUAGAAAUGUAGUUUCUAAAGGCGCAUUUUAAUUAAAGAGUAAUUAAAUUAAAAGUAGUAUAUUUUAUAAUUCAGGUAUAAUUAUAUUAUAUUGUAAUAUACCUAAAUAAUACUUAAAACGAUUAUUCCGUCAUUUUGCAAAAAUGCACUGCUAACCCUGAAAAAUAACUGAAUUAUUGAUUAGGAAGAGAACAUUUUUAAAUAAAUUUAAAAAUGUUCUCUUCCUAAUUCAUUUUUUAAAGUUUUAAAUCUCUAUUUUCUUCAAAGAAAUCUAAUCCUAAUCACUAUUAUUUAAAGUUUACUUUAUUUUAAAGAAUUUUGAGGUUUAACUCCUGGUCCAUGUUUAAAGGCCUAUAUGGUAGGCGUUUACAGAUUCGCAUCCUACGCAUCGGACGCAUCGCUUCGAACGGAUUUUAUUAACCGACUUCCAAAAAGGAGGAAGUUCUACGUGUAUGUUUCUUUUUUUAUGUAUGUCCAGCGAUAAUUCCGUCAUUUAUUGACCGAUUUUAAAUUUUUUUUUUGUUUUGAAGGGUUUGUUUCCAGGGUGGUCCCAUUUUUUUCAUGUCAGGGUCUGAUGAUGGCAUCCUGGAGAAAUUGAAGCGAACUUUCAAAAAUCGUAGAGACGUCUAGUGCGUUUGUUAGUGUUUCCAUAAGGUAUUUUAAACCACUACAAUUUUAUGAAGGUCUGGAGUUGGUCUGAUGAUGGAGCCGAAACACAGACGAUGGAACUAGUCAACGAUUUACAGCAGUUACCUUUUGUUUGGGCUUGAUAAAUUUGUAUUGAUGAGAAUUUGCCAUCUAGAUGGUUUGUGACUGUAUUAAAGGUCUGGUGAUGGAGACGAACGACAGUUAAGGGAACUCCUCGACGGUUCAUAGUAGAUACCUUGUGUUUGGACUUGAUAAAUUUGUAUUGAUGAGAACUUUCCACCUAGAUGGGUUGUGACUGUAUUAGGGGUCUGGUGAUGAAGACAAAGGACAGUUAAGGGAACUCCUCGACGGUUCACAGUAGCUACCUUGUGUUUUGACUUGAUAAUUUUGUAUUGAUGAGAACUUUCCACCUGGAUAGAUUGUGACUGUAUUAGGGGUCUGGUGACGAAGACGGAGGACAGUUAAGACCACUUCUCACUAGUUAUGAUACCUUUUACGUUUUUCUGGAUAUUCUGGAUAUUUUGUUCACACUCUAUAGGUAUGCUAACACUAAAAAUGAAAAAAUAAAAAUUUUAAUAAAAAAAAUUCAACCGACUUCCAACUCAAAAAAUAACCUAAACUAAAAAGCAAGAAAUAACUUCUUACCUAUGUGCUACCUUCUGAUCAGUUUGAAGGCGGUGCCAAUCCAGUGUCAUGUUUUAAUUAAAGCCGUUUCUGAAUGAACCACAGAAAUUUUGUAAUUUAAACGGCUUGAAUUAAAACAUCACUGGCUUGGCACCGCCUUCAAACUGAUCAGAAGGUAGCACAUAGGUAAGAAGUUAUUUCUUGCUUUUUAGUUUAGGUUAUUUUUUGAGUUGGAAGUCGGUUGAAUUUUUUUUAUUAAAAUUUUAUAUACCGUAAAAUUAAAAAUCCGUUUGAUGCGAUGCGUCCGAUACAUAUGAUUCGGAUAACUGGACGCCUACGUUUAGUGUACAUAUCGUUGUAUCACCGUGUUGUAUAUAAUAAAAAUUAACAAAUAAAUAA